GAUUCCUCCAUCCAAAUGACUGCAUCCAAACUCAGAAAAUAGUUUGUAUGAACAAAGCUGCAGAGAUUUCAGAUGAAGCUGAUUACCGAUGAUUCCUCACAACUGUUUGCUGACUCUUCAUAAGGCAGGGGCGCUGAGCUACUCCUCGCUGGAAUAUGAAGUAACUCUAAUUUCUCAGAGCUGUGACCCUGGACCCCUGAGUGCGAGUGGAGCUGUUCAGCGUGGAGCGUGUGUGAGGACCUUGUGUUUACCUACCCUGUGGACCC